rnacentral:rRNA from 1 species
AUUGAACGCUGGCGGCAUGCCUUACACAUGCAAGUCGAACGGCAGCGCGGGGGCAACCUGGCGGCGAGUGGCGAACGGGUGAGUAACAUAUCGGAACAUACCCUAGAGUGGGGGAUAACGUAGCGAAAGUUACGCUAAUACCGCAUACGCACUAAGGUGGAAAGUGGGGGAUUCGCAAGAACCUCAUGCUCAUGGAGUGGCCGAUAUCUGAUUAGCUAGUUGGUGAGGUAAAGGCUCACCAAGGCGACGAUCAGUAGCUGGUUUGAGAGAACGACCAGCCACACUGGAACUGAGACACGGUCCAGACUCCUACGGGAGGCAGCAGUGGGGAAUUUUGGGACAAUGGGGGCAACCCUGAUCCAGCAAUGCCGCGUGAGUGAAGAAGGCCUCGGUUGU